rnacentral:rRNA from 1 species
CCUACGGGGGGCAGCAGUGGGGAAUAUUGGACAAUGGGGGCAACCCUGAUCCAGCCAUGCCGCGUGUGUGAAGAAGGCCCUCGGGUUGUAAAGCACUUUCAGUGAGGAAGAACGCCUGGUGGUUAAUACCCAUCAGGAAAGACAUCACUCACAGAAGAAGCACCGGCUAACUCCGUGCCAGCAGCCGCGGUAAUACGGAGGGUGCGAGCGUUAAUCGGAAUUACUGGGCGUAAAGCGCGCGUAGGUGGCUUGAUAAGCCGGUUGUGAAAGCCCCGGGCUCAACCUGGGAACGGCAUCCGGAACUGUCAAGCUAGAGGGCAGGAGAGGAAGGUAGAAUUCCCGGUGUAGCGGUGAAAUGCGUAGAGAUCGGGAGGAAUACCAGUGGCGAAGGCGGCCUUCUGGACUGACACUGACACUGAGGUGCGAAAGCGUGGGUAGCAAACAGGAUUAGAUACCCCAGUAGUC